rnacentral:rRNA from 1 species
UGCAUGGUUGUCGUCAGCUCGUGUCGUGAGAUGUUGGGUUAAAUCCCGCAACGAGCGCAACCCUUGAUCUUAGUUGCCAGCAUUCAGUUGGGCACUCUAAGGUGACUGCCGGUGACAAACCGGAGGAAGGUGGGGAUGACGUCAAAUCAUCAUGCCCCUUAUGACCUGGGCUACACACGUGCUACAAUGGACAGAACAAAGGGCAGCGAAACCGCGAGGUUAAGCCAAUCCCACAAAUCUGUUCUCAGUUCGGAUCGCAGUCUGCAACUCGACUGCGUGAAGCUGGAAUCGCUAGUAAUCGCGGAUCAGCAUGCCGCGGUGAAUACGUUCCCGGGCCUUGUACACACCGCCCGUCACACCACGAGAGUUUGUAACACCCGAAGUCGGUGAG